GCCUGAGGUGCUCCUGCAUUACGAUAAUCAAAAUAGUCAUAUAGAUGAACAAAAACCACACCAACAACCCUUCUAUAGUUGGAAUUAGUAAUAAACAAGACAGGUAUAGAAAGUUUAGUAAUUACACUAACAUGAAGAAAUUUGGAAUAUUACAGAAAGUUUCUUCAGUAGCAGCACUGCUUCACUUAAGAACUAUGUUUUGGGAGGUUGGGCAGUAUUAAAAUAAAUACCUGGAAAACUUAAAGCAAGACCA
rnacentral:misc_RNA from 1 species